AUUGAACGCUGGCGGCAGGCAUAACACAUGCAAGUCGAACGGUAGCACAGAGAGCUUGCUCUCGGGUGACGAGUGGCGGACGGGUGAGUAACGUCUGGGAAACUGCCCGAUGGAGGGGGAUAACUACUGGAAACGGUAGCUAAUACCGCAUAACGUCGCAAGACCAAAGUGGGGGACCUUCGGGCCUCACACCAUCGGAUGUGCCCAGAUGGGAUUAGCUAGUAGGUGGGGUAAUGGCUCACCUAGGCAACGAUCCCUAGCUGGUCUGAGAGGAGGACCAGCCACACUGGAACUGAGACACGGUCCAGACUCCUACGGGAGGCAGCAGUGGGGAAUAUUGCACAAUGGGCGCAAGCCUGAUGCAGCCAUGCCGCGUGUAUGAAGAAGGCCUUCGGGUCGUAAAGUACUUUCAGCGGGGAGAAAGGCGGUGAAGUUAAUAGCUUCACCGAUUGACGUUACCCGCAGAAGAAGCACCGGCUAACUCCGUGCCAGCAGCCGCCGCAG
rnacentral:rRNA from 1 species